UACAGAGGGUGCAAGCGUUAAUCGGAAUUACUGGGCGUAAAGCGCGCGUAGGUGGUUUGUUAAGUUGAAUGUGAAAUCCCCGGGCUCAACCUGGGAACUGCAUCCAAAACUGGCAAGCUAGAGUAUGGUAGAGGGUGGUGGAAUUUCCUGUGUAGCGGUGAAAUGCGUAGAUAUAGGAAGGAACACCAGUGGCGAAGGCGACCACCUGGACUGAUACUGACACUGAGGUGCGAAAGCGUGGGGGAGCAAACAGG
rnacentral:rRNA from 1 species